rnacentral:rRNA from 1 species
GAUGAACGCUAGCGGCAGGCCUAAUACAUGCAAGUCGGACGGGAUUGCAGUGCAGCUUGCUGUACUGCAUGAGAGUGGCGCACGGGUGCGUAACGCGUGAGCAACCUGCCCAUAUCAGGGGGAUAGCCCGGAGAAAUCCGGAUUAACACCGCAUAACACAGUAUUUCCGCAUGGAUUUGCUGUUAAAUAUUUAUAGGAUAUGGAUGGGCUCGCGUGACAUUAGCUAGUUGGCGGGGUAACGGCCCACCAAGGCGACGAUGUCUAGGGGCUCUGAGAGGAGAAUCCCCCACACUGGUACUGAGACACGGACCAGACUCCUACGGGAGGCAGCAGUAAGGAAUAUUGGUCAAUGGGCGCAAGCCUGAACCAGCCAUGCCGCGUGCAGGAUGACUGCCCUAUGGGUUGUAAACUGCUUUUAUCCGGGAAUAACCCCCUCUACGAGUAGAGGGCUGAAUGUACCGGAAGAAUAAGGAUCGG